CUGAUCCACAGAAAGGAAAGCAAGAGAUAUGGGACCCACUCUAAUCAGUGGACACCUUUCUGUUGCUAAUAUUGGAGGACAAGUUACUGAAGUUGCCAAGUGAUGAAGGCCUGUUGAUGCUGCUCAACUCACCAAGUUCCUGCAGCAGAUCGCUUGCGGCUCCAGGAUCCAGCGUCUGCAGUCUCCUGUGUCUACCGCUGGACCAGAUGCCAAGGGUUGCAAUCACUGGCUGAACAUGCACGGUCUACUGAGGUACAGAGUGUAGUGAAGAAGUCUCCUCAUCCCUCUCCCUGGUUGAGCACUUGAAGAACAGUAACCGAGUGGAGUCGCCUAAGUUGUCCAGUUCUGGGCAGAAUGAACUCAGCGGGCAAAGAAACCUCCUUUUGUGAUGCAAGUUCCUCUGAUUGUACGAUCUUCCCCUGCCCCUGAUAAGCAAGGCUUCAGAAGACGAGCCUGACCAUCAGUUGUAAGCACAACUUAAUGCUGAAGGGAAGAGCAGUAGAAGGAUUUCCAUUACAAGACCACCUGGGCUAACCAGCCAGGAAAGUGUUUUGGAGCAAGUGCUUUGAAAAACAAGGA